GGCCGUCUAGCUCAGUUGGUUAGAGCGUCGUGCUAAUAUUCAUUAUGAAUUCAACGCGAAGGUCUUGGGUUCGACCCCCACGAUGGCCA